rnacentral:lncRNA from 1 species
GGGACGUUGAUGACAGCCAGACGCAGGGCAGAUGCCCCAGGCUCAUGGAACAUCAGUCUCGUGAGAAGGAGAAAAGGGAGGCUCCUCACUGGAGGAGGACCAUGUGCAGGAGGGGCCACCCAGGCGAGGACGGACCACCUGACCUGAGGAGCAGGCAGGAAGGAGGCCGAGCUCUGCGUGGGAGGGAGGAACAGGGAGUGUGGACGGCACCUGGGAGGGAGAGGCCUGGACAGAGAGCUGUCAGACUGGACGGGCCAGCGAGGCCAGUGGACACCGCCUGCCCCUUCCUCUCCCAUGUGUGCAGGAUAUGUAUGUCCAUCGUCCAUCCAUCUAGCAUCUAUCACUCACUUAUCAUCUGUCUGUCAUUUAUAAUCAUCUAUCAUCCAUUUAUAAUUCAUUUAUCAUCUAUCAACUACCCAGCUGUCAUCCGUCUAUCCCUCAUCUACCUACUUGUCUAUAAUCUACCAUCUACCUACUUAUCUAUUUAUAAUCUGUUUAUCUAUAAUUAUCUAUGAUCAUGUUUUCUGUCUUCUAAUAAUCUUCAUCUAUUUAUCUGUUAUCUACUUACUUACCUAUUGAUCACUAUCUUUCCAUCCUCUGUCUGCUUAUCUGUCUGUCUGUCUAUAAUCCACCUAUCACCUGUUUCUCUGUCGUCUACCCCCCACCUCACAAGGCUGGCAUCUGGCUUUUCUGGCGGCUGUGAGGGAGACUGUUCUGGGCCGGGGGGGGGGGCUGGCAUUCUUUGGUACCCCUUGGCCUCGAUCUUUGCCUACAUCCUCACAUGAUGGAAACAGAUUCUUUCUGCUUUUCUGUGUGAAAUUCUUUAUGAUAAUUUCUUUCUGCAACUUCGUGUUCUCUUCCCUCUGUGUGUGUCUGUCUCUGAGCCCGAGUUUCCCCUUUUUAUAAGGACACCAAUGGUAUUGGAUUAAGGCACGCCAGUGACCUCAUUUUUAAUUGAUUGUCUUCCUUAAGAGCCUAAUUUCAAAUAAGCCACAGUUAUAGGUACUGGGGGUUAGGACUCCAACAUAGCUGUGUUUUGGAGACAGAAUACGACCCAGAACAUGGGUACAUUGGGGUUUGUUAUAUUAAUCUCUACUGUGUUUGAAAUUUUCCAUAAUAAAAUGAUAAAUAACAAAACAAAAAACUCCUAUAUUCCCUGUCCCCUUUUAGCUUUGUAUCAAGGUUAUUCAGGGCUGGGGACAUAGCUUAGUUGGUAGAGGGCUUGUCUUGGGUUCAAUCCCCAGCCCCCCCCCAAAAAAAAAAAAAAGAUUAUUCAAGGGCUUGACUCCUCCUCCGGCCUCUGUUGACCUGAGCUCAGGUUCAUUGUUCCCACCCCUCCUCAUUUCCUACCUCAGAAACCACGGGGAGAAACAAACUUCAGUGUGUCCUAGGCCGCUCAUGUUGUGUGACGCUGUCUGCACUGAGAGACUAUGGAUACAGGAGAACCGAA